CAAGAUUUCCAAGGAAUUAUUACUGGCAAGCCACGUGACAGAAACCAGUGUGAGGAGUACUCAAGACACUACAAGGGUGCUUGGAUAGGACAGAACUUUUUCAGCAGCUAAUCUUGGAUCACGGAGUCCUUCAAAGGCAGCUGUUUCACUGCGGUCAGAGACUGAAUCUUAAGUCAACCAGACCUUUUGAUGAAAUCCAAAUGGACUUCUGGGCACAUUUUCUAAGGAAACUACAGGAAGAAAGUUAGUGUGGCAUUUGAAACAUCCAUUUCUAAUUGAAACAUUGAAUCAUAUCAUGCAAGUCAGACAAACUCAAUUCUGAACACCACAAAUAUGGAGCAUGCACACCGACAAUGCUCAACUGAGAAGUGCUCAUUCAAACGCUGGUCCAAGCUCUUUACACUUGAUUCAUGUGACUGCUGCAGGAAAUUGCUUCAAAGCGGUUGGUUUAAGACAACAGAAACUGAUGAUUUCAUUGCCAGGUGGCACUGAACUUAAAUCAGUGCUUAAGUAGGAUUGGGUCCUUCUGCAGACUCUGAGCAAGAGAAUGUCCCAUAUCCCUCUCUGGGUUUCUGUUGGUGGCCCUCAACCCUUGGCACUCAUUGGUUUGUUGGUGCCUCACACUAACUGCAUUCAUCUUCUCCUGGUGUCUAGUUUGUGGGUCUUCUCUCCUCUUUUCCAUUUGGAAGACCAUUUGCAUUGCAUUGGGUGCCCAUCUGAGCCCAGAAUGAGCUUGUCUGGGUACCACUCUUCAAAGAAGAUCAAAAUCAUGGUAUCUGUAUGGCAGAUAGUUUAAUUAUUAGUUUUUAAACAUUUAUUGGAUUUAUUCUGGGAUAAUUUCACGAGUAUAAAGUGUGUUCUGAUUACUUGAAUCCCCCACUCUUUCUUGACUUCCAUCCUAAUCCCCCCACAAUUCAAUUCCCUUUCAAAGAUUUUUUUUCCAGACCAAUUGAAUCUAAGCAAGUUCUGUAUGACCAUGGGUGUGGAACUAUCCAUUAGAGGUCAGUGAAUCAUUAGUUGGUGUACAACUAAAGAUAAUGACUGCUACAUCAGAAUUUAUCAGUAUCAAAUACAUCAGCAGAGAGAGUUAGGGCCCCAGGGGCUCCUCCACAAUCUGCAACAGACUAUUACUAGGCCCAGACUUGUAUAAGCCCAUUGCAGAGUUGUUGUGAAGUCAUGAUUGAGUUGGGUGUGCCAUGCACAGAAGAUGGAAUUUUAUACAUCUUUGUUUCCUAUCUUCUGGUUUAAGAAAUAUUUUGAUUAAUUCUUUGAGAAUUUGCACAACCUGUUUUGACCAUAUUUAUUCCCUGACUCAACUCUUCCAAGAUCCUUCCUUUCCCUCCCUUAUUUCCUUUUCCUCCCUUAUUCAUCCAACUUUGUGUGUUCUUCCUUUCUCUCUCCUCUCUAUAGCCAUUAUAUACCCAUAUAUAUCUACAUCUAUCUAUCUAUCUAUCUAUCUAUCUAUCUAUCUAUCUAUCUAUCUAUCUAUAUAUGUGGGUAUAUAUAUAUAUAUAUACACACACACACAUACCCAUACACAUGCACACACACACACAUAAUAUAUAUACUAGACAUUAAGUCCAAUUUGUGCUGCCCAUAUAUUCUUAGAUGUACAGUCAUCCCCUGGAGCAUGAUCAACUUACCAGUGGCAAUACUGUUGAAGAAUAUUGAUUCUCCCUCUCCCAGAAACUACCAGAUUCAAGUGCUCCUUAGCUAGGAGUGAGAAUUUGUGCCCACCUUCCUUCUCCAUGCUGGGAUUUGGUCGGGCUUGAGCUUGCACAGGCUUUGUGCAUGCUAUUGAUAUUGCCAUAAGUUUAUAUGUAGAACUGCCCUGCUCUGUCUGGAAGAUUGUGUUUCUUUGUGAUCAUUUACCACCCUUGAUUUUAUAGUUUGCUCUCUCUUCCAGAAGCUUGCUCCCUUAUAGAACCCAAGACUACCAGCCCAGGUAUGGCACCACCCACAAUGGGCCCUCCCCCUUGAUUGCCAAUUAAGAAAAAGCCUUAUAGCUGGAUCUCAUGGAGGCAUUUCCUCACUUGAAGCUCCUUUCUCUGUAAUAACUCCAUCCUGUGUCAAGUUGACACCCAAAACCAGCCAGUACAAUCCCUGAGACUUGGGAAGGAUUGUGUUAUAAAUGCCCCAUUUAGAGGUGAGAAUUCUGCAAUCUGUUAUUUUCUAUACCUUGAGUAGUUGUGGGUCUUGUGUUAACCACCAUCUACUGCAAAUAGAAGCUUCUCUAAGGGUCAAGGUACAUAUUAUUCUAUGGCUAUAAUGAUAUCUCAUGAAGAGUCAGUUUAAUACUUCAUAUCUCUGGCAGAAUAAUAGUAUUUGAUUCUCCUCUAUGGUCUAUGGCCUGUUUAUCUACCAGUUCUUGGCUUGCAAUCUUGUCAAGUAUGGGUUUCAUUCCAUGGAAAGGACUUAAAUCUGACCAGAAUGGUUGCUCAUUUCCAUGUUAGUUAGAGUAUUACUGUACAAGUCGGUAUGCCUUGCCAGGCCAGUUGUUGUUAUAACUCCCAGGGUUCAUAAUUGGAUAAGUAUCAUCAAUGAUUUUUCUCCCUCAGACAGUGAGCAUGACACCUUUCAGCACUACGAAAGCUAGCUGGCAGGGAUGCAGCUUCCAGGUCAGUACCAGCUUUACAUCUCCAUGCUAUGUUACUUAAAUAUGUGGUGUCUUCAGCAAUAGGGAUUUACUGUCAUAUUCUAGAGGGUAGCCAAGAGUAAUGGCAGUAGCUUGUAAUGUUCGCACAUUUAGAGACCUCACUGGCUGAAGAAACUUUACCUUUCUCAAUAUUUUAUUUAAUAGCCUAUGGUAUUUACUGGGGUGAUUUUCAUCCUGAUAUAGAUGAAAAUAUUUUACCAUAUAUACCUUUAACAUGUGCAUGUGUGUAUAUGUACACACACAUACAAACACACACACACACACCCACACACACAAAGAGACAUUUCUACAGUAGUAGAUAGUUUUCUAUAUGGCUUUUAAGACAGAUCUUUAGUGUUCUUUAUCCCUCCUGAUUUCUUUCUUCUACCCUGUCCUCAUCCUAGCUUCCAGCCCAAUUCAAUGCCAUUCUUUUAUUUCCCCUUUAAGCCUGUAUAGUAACACAUUCUAUCUCCCCUCCCUUGAAAGACCUGCCCUAUCCUCAGAUGCUCAGUAAUUUCCUGACCUCUAUGGGUAUUCCAAAUGAAACACAAUGGUUUCAAAGCUAGCAUCCACAACUGAGAGAAGGCAUGUGGUGUCUGUCUUUCUGAGACUGGGCUACCUCUCCCUGAAUGAUUAGUUCAGCUCCAUCUGUUUAUGGAUAUAUUUUAUAAGUGGAUUUUUUUCCUUAGUAAAUUGAAUAACUUCCCUGUCUGUAAAUAUAUCACAUCCUCAUUACCCACUGACCAGCUGAUGCAUGUCUUGACUGUACUCAUUGCUUGACUAUUUUAAAUAAAGCAUCGAUAAACAUG